rnacentral:rRNA from 1 species
AUUGAACGCUGGCGGCAGGCCUAACACAUGCAAGUCGAGCGGAUGAAGGGAGCUUGCUCCUGGAUUCAGCGGCGGACGGGUGGGUAAUGCCUAGGAAUCUGCCUGGUCGUGGGGGAUAACGUCCGGAAACGGGCGCUAAUACCGCAUACGUCCUGAGGGAGAAAGUGGGGGAUCUUCGGACCUCACGCUAUCAGCUGAGCCUAGGUCGGAUUAGCUAGUUGGUGGGGUAAAGGCCUACCAAGGCGACGAUCCGUAACUGGUCUGAGAGGAUGAUCAGUCACACUGGAACUGAGACACGGUCCAGACUCCUACGGGAGGCAGCAGUGGGGAAUAUUGGACAAUGGGCGAAAGCCUGAUCCAGCCAUGCCGCGUGUGUGAAGAAGGUCUUCGGAUUGUAAAGCACUUUAAGUUGGGAGGAAGGGCAGUAAGUUAAUACCUUGCUGUUUUGACGUUACCAACAGAAUAAGCACCGGCUAACUUCGUG